GGUGGGGUCUCUCGAACAGAAAACGGCAUAGGUAACUCCUAUGAGUUUAUAUAGGGAAAACUCCUCCAACAAAUUUAGGCCUAUGGCAUUUUACAUAUAAAAAAAAUGAUUUCAUUAUAAAGCAAAUGACAUGUAAUGGUAGUUAAAAGGUUAUGGUAGAUAUUCCGUGGUACAGGUGUUAGUGUGUAGCAGAGCUCACCCUCAGUAAAACCACUCCAUAGUCGUACAUCAUCACUGGGUCCUUCUUCUGGAUGGCUCCCUUCUCAUAAUACUUGACUGCCGCCUGGAUGUUUGAGGAGAUCCCUUGUUGACCCCAAAAUAGCAUCCGUCCAACCGCUU